rnacentral:misc_RNA from 1 species
AACACUGUUAACCUGCGGUACCUGCGGAGGGAUCAUUAAAGUAUAAUUUGAUUUUGAAUGUUCUUCGGAGGUUCAAUCAAUCAAUCUAUCUGACUUUUGUGGUAUUAUUGAAAAACUGUAUUGGAUUUAAAGAUGGUAUCACGUGAGUGGUAUCGAUCCAAGCUUUUUUUAAAUCAACUCUCUUAUCAUGUGACUGAAUUUUAUCAAGUUAAACCUUAUUGGUUUAAAUAAAGUUUUAAA